AUACGGAGGGGGCUAGCGUUGUUCGGAAUUACUGGGCGUAAAGCGUACGUAGGCGGACUGAUCAGUUGGGGGUGAAAUCCCAGGGCUUAACCCUGGAACUGCCUUCAAUACUGUCAGUCUUGAGAUUGGAAGAGGUGAGUGGAAUUCCUAGUGUAGAGGUGAAAUUCAUAGAUAUUAGGAGGAACACCAGUGGCGAAGGCGGCUCACUGGUCCAAUACUGACGCUGAGGUACGAAAGCGUGGGGAGCAAACAGGAUUAGAUACCCGUGUAGUCC
rnacentral:rRNA from 1 species